rnacentral:lncRNA from 1 species
AUGGGGGCGGGGCAGAGACUGGAACCCGCGCAAGCGCGGAAAUGCCCACGGCCGCGCCCUCCCGCGCGAACCGCGGCGACACCCGGGCCGCCCUCGGAGGGCACGGAUGUCGCGCCGCGCUCCCGGGGUGCUUCAGUUGCGCCCACGGCCGACGCCCGGCAGCGGCGGGCAGGUGCCACGACCUCUGGACGUUUCUCGCCCCUUCUCGGGAAUGGAACGCUUAGAGAAGCGCAGGUCCGCACCCAAAACACAAGGCGGCACUGUUGCGUGUGCACCGACGACUCUGCGGCCAGCGCCCCGGCUCUCUUCCCGGGAACGCUUAGGAGCCAGAGAGCGCCGCGCCGCGCCGCGCCACGCCACGCCCGGCAGGGCCGCAGCAGCGCACGCGACAGGGUGUCGUCCAUUGGGCAGCAGGAGCGUCCGCCAAGGGCGAGGGGCGGGAAUUCCGUGCAAUCUGAGCACGGUCAUUGGCGAGGACAGGCGAAGAGGAGGCUGGAUAGGCGGGUCGGGGCGGAGCUUCCUGUGGGCGCCUGGAGCCUCCGGGGAGCGACCGAGCCGGAGGUGGGGAGCGAGGCAGCUGUGGGCUCCGGCGGGCAGACACUAGGUCUGUCCCUCCCCGCCCCGCCCCGCCCUGCCCCGCCCUGCCCCACCCCGCCGCCGCCGCCUCGGCAUCGCCUUCCGAGCCUCUGGGCCGGCUCCCUGCGGGGCAUGCGCCGAGUCCCCUUCCCGUGCAGACCGGCGGUCACUGUCCUCCCCGGGGACGAGGCGGACAGGCGUCCCCGAGAUCAGGGCCCGGGAAGCCCCGUGAGCCGCUCUCGCCUGGGCGCCGUCGAGGGGCUGCCCUGCCCUUCCCACUCCACUGUGCUCCGAAAGUGCUUCGGGGCGCGUCUGGGGAGUCGUGGGGAAGCAGGGCCGUCCCCACCCGUCCACCCGGCAGCGUCCAGGGAUAGGUGGGCAGAGCGGGCGGGCGGGCGGGCGUCCUGGGGAAGCGGCGUCUGGAGGUGUCUGUGCAGCGUUCCGCGGUGGCGCGCGGUGGGGGUAACAAAGUCUUGCCCGUCCCUUGACAGCGGUGGCCGCCGGGGAGGGAAUCCUGCUCUGCUGCGGGCGGUCGUGGGCUGGGGCGCUUCCUGGCCUGUCUCCUGGGGGAGGUAG